rnacentral:rRNA from 1 species
CCCCUAGCUGGGUGCCUGAGAAGUGGUUUCCAAGUUCAGCCUCGUAUACCCCAAACCAAAGAAUACACUACCAAGGUGCUUCGGGAAAUACACGAGAGUUAGUUGAAGGGGGUACAGCCCCUUUAACAAAGGAUACAACCUUUACAGGAGGAUAAAGAUCAUAAUAUAUAAAACACACUGUUCUAGUGGGCCUAAAGGCAGCCACCUAAACAGAAAGCGUUAAAGCUCAGACAGAAGGAAGUUUAUUAUACCGAUAAAAAAUCUUACUCCCCUAAUUAUAUCAGGCCAACCCAUGCCAACAUGGAAGAGAUUAUGCUAAAAUGAGUAACAAGAAGACCUGCUCUUCUCCCAGCACAAGUGUAAGCCAGAUCGGACCAACCACUGGAACUUAACGAACCCAACCCGCAGAGGGUAAUGUGAACAACAUAGACUUCAGGAAGGACUCACAACUAAAUAGGAAAAUAAUCCCACUUUUUUGUGCUAG